rnacentral:rRNA from 1 species
CCUACGGGAGGCUGCAGUGGGGAAUAUUGGACAAUGGGCGAAAGCCUGAUCCAGCCAUGCCGCGUGUGUGAAGAAGGCCUUCGGGUUGUAAAGCACUUUCAGUGGGGAAGAAAGCCUUGGGGCUAAUACCCUCGAGGAAGGACAUCACCCACAGAAGAAGCACCGGCUAACUCCGUGCCAGCAGCCGCGGUAAUCCGGAGGGUGCGAGCGUUAAUCGGAAUUACUGGGCGUAAAGCGCGCGUAGGCGGUCUGAUAAGCCGGUUGUGAAAGCCCCGGGCUCAACCUGGGAACGGCAUCCGGAACUGUCAGGCUAGAGUGCAGGAGAGGAAGGUAGAAUUCCCGGUGUAGCGGUGAAAUGCGUAGAGAUCGGGAGGAAUACCAGUGGCGAAGGCGGCCUUCUGGACUGACACUGACGCUGAGGUGCGAAAGCGUGGGUAGCAAACAGGAUUAGAUACCCGAGUAGUC